rnacentral:rRNA from 1 species
UACGUAGGGUGCAAGCGUUGUCCGGAAUUAUUGGGCGUAAAGAGCUCGUAGGCGGUUUGGUAAGUCAGGUGUGAAAUCUCCACGCUCAACGUGGAGGGGCCACCUGAUACUGCCAUGACUGGAGUCCGGUAGAGGAGUGUGGAAUUCCUGGUGUAGCGGUGGAAUGCGUAGAGAUCAGGAAGAACACCCGUGGCGAAGGCGGCACUCUGGGCCUGUACUGACGCUGAGACGCGAAAGCGCGGGGAGCGAACGGG